UACGUAGGGUGCAAGCGUUAAUCGGAAUUACUGGGCGUAAAGCGUGCGCAGGCGGUGAUGUAAGACAGAUGUGAAAUCCCCGGGCUCAACCUGGGAACUGCAUUUGUGACUGCAUCGCUGGAGUACGGCAGAGGGGGAUGGAAUUCCGCGUGUAGCAGUGAAAUGCGUAGAUAUGCGGAGGAACACCGAUGGCGAAGGCAAUCCCCUGGGCCUGUACUGACGCUCAUGCACGAAAGCGUGGGAGCAAACAGG
rnacentral:rRNA from 1 species